CGCCCUGUAGCUCAAUGGUAGCAGCAUCUGUUUUACACACAGAGGGUUGUAGGUUCGAGUCCUACCGGGGUGACCA
rnacentral:tRNA from 1 species